rnacentral:rRNA from 1 species
GACGAACGCUGGCGGCGUGCUUAACACAUGCAAGUCGAACGGAAAGGCCCUGCUUGCAGGGUACUCGAGUGGCGAACGGGUGAGUAACACGUGGGUGAUCUGCCCUGCACUUCGGGAUAAGCCUGGGAAACUGGGUCUAAUACCGGAUAGGAGCCAUUUUUAGUGUGAUGGUUGGAAAGUUUUUUCGGUGUAGGAUGAGCUCGCGGCCUAUCAGCUUGUUGGUGGGGUAAUGGCCUACCAAGGCGGCGACGGGUAGCCGGCCUGAGAGGGUGGACGGCCACAUUGGGACUGAGAGACGGCCCAGACUCCGACGGGAGGCAGCAGGGGGGAAUAUUGAACAAUGGGCGCAAGCCGGAUGCAGCGACGCCGCGGGGGGGAUGACGGCCUUCGGGUUGUAAACUCCUUUCGCUAGGGACGAAGCUUUUUGUGACGGUACCUAGAUAAGAAGCACCGGCUAACUACGUG